GCGGCUCUAGCUUAAUGAUAAAGCCCUUGGAUGUGACCCAAGAAGAUGCGAGUUCGAGUCUCGUGAGUCGCCCCA
rnacentral:tRNA from 1 species